UCUAUUUAUUAUUUUCUCUUCUCUGUUUUCUAUUAUAGUUCGUUUACUUUUAGUUUUAUAAAAUACCAAGUUAGCACCUAAAUUAGUAUCAUUAAUAUAGGCCACUGCCAAACCUGGUUUGGACCCAAAACAAGUUAGUUAAAUAUUUAUAUAAUUUAAAAAGCAAUUAAAUUGUUAUUUUAGCCACUGUUUUUAUUUACAUUAGGGCAUUUAAAUAUUUUGAGAAAGGUUGGUUUCACCACCAAAAUUAGUUUGGGAUUAUUUGCUACAUGAUGAACAUUUUAGUUUUAAUAUUUGAAAACUUUUAUUGUUUGCUUGAUUUUGAAAUUGAAUUUGAAUCGUUUUUGAACUAACGCGAGAUUAGCAACAUUAAUCGAGGUGACGUGACAUCAUUAGCAGAGGGUUACUGUAGCUUAACUAUCCGGGCGUCACAAUUCUCGUCCACUACAAGAAAUCUCGUCCCGAGAUUUAAGGGGGAAGUAAGGGGGAAGGGAUUUGGUUACGAAAUUCUAACGGAUCUUCUUGGUCUUGGUUGCUCUUCUCGAAGAGGUCGAUCCACUACGUUGAUGUCUUCAUUUCUCUGCUCCAGGUCAUCAUGAUAAAGCCGGCAUCCUUUCUUCAGGAUCUCCAUCAUACUUACGGAAAAGAUGAGGGAGGGAGACUCGGGAAGGACGAAGCUCAACACAUGCUAGGUACCUGGGGGCUAUCUCAGAGAACGAGGCAUAGAGGCAUCUCUCGAGAUGAAAUUCAAGAGAGUCAUCCAGAGCAAUGUAAGAAGGUGCAAUAAGAAAUUUCAAGCAAAUAGGCAAUUGUUUGUUGCCUGAAACAGAGGGUGAAAGGGGUUCGGAGCAAUGAAGAAAAAUGUUGCAUCCGAUACCGGAAUGAAAUAUGGCAAGGAAAUUAGCCCGUGGAUCACAUACGAAGCCAAGCAUAAGGGAUAACUUUGGCAACAGGGGGUGUAUAAGAGAGUCAGGUUUCGAUCCUAUGGAACUGUGGGUUAUGGGCCCACCAUGUGGGUUAAAAGUAGAAAGGGUGGUGAUAUUUUGCACAGUCAUGAUAACAAGGCAUGUCAGAGGGUAGCCUGUCAGUUAUGUCGGCAACAACAUCGAUACCAAGGGCGAGGGACGAAGAGAACCAUUUUCCUGCUCGUUGAACAAGGCGGACCGAUAGGCAAAGUUCUCGUCCAUCGGUGGUUACCGGGAUGCUAUCGACAAAUGCAACAGGGUCUUACUGACACGGUUGUACACCAAAGUGUUUAUAUAAGCAGAAGAAUAUUACUGCUUAGAUCAUAUAGAUCACAAGAAACGUUAAACCAACCAAUGGAAAGGAAAAUACGAUUAUCAGAUUAAACAGAACAAUGGAAAGGAAAAUGUGUUUAAACACAUAUUUCAAGGGUAUAUCCUUCCCAAGGACAAGCAGAGCAUGAUAUCCAUGACAUGAUAUAAUGUAGAAAACUCUUUAGGUACGGGAGAGAAUUUUCAUGACAUUACCCAUACAACGGUGUUUGGAUAAUUUGAUAAGGAAAAUUUAGCAUUGUGCUUCAAAUGUUCUUAUUGAAGAUCGGAGUACCACAAACAUGCUUCGACAUAGCAUUGACAUGGUCUUCAAGCAAAGGUUAGACUUUGGAUACUCAAUGGAUUCAUCAAGAACAAUCUAUAGAAUAAGUCUUUCAAUUUCCUCUUGGAAGAAUGGUUAACAUUGCUAAAAGGAAGAACUAUAACAAUAGGCCCUCCAGCCAGGUGUGCUAGGCAUGACAUCACCUUACCAGAUCAUAUAAAGACCAACGUUAUAACUCUUGGAAAAUGCGUCCCAACCAUCAUAUCUGACCGGGAUUCAUAUCUGAUUGGUGUUAGGAUAUCUCAGACUCAAGAUGCCUAAGAAGAAGAGGUGCUACACAAUUGACGAGAUGACAUUAUAUGAUUCUCGAGAAAUGAACUAUGGAAGCGAGUUUCGAACAAGGGGUUCAUCAUUAAACCAAGGAGAGGAUGAGGGGGUGGCUGAUGGACUCAGCGACAAUUCCUCGAGAUUUCCAAAAAGAUGGAUUUCCACAAUCAUGUGAACAAGGAGAUAACAUUUGUCAGAUCAAAUGAUAUAGUGAAGUAUGCUCGAGGAAAACAUACAUAAUUAAACAUUUGUUGAAAGGUGCGCCCGAAAUAUGGGUUGGGUUGCACGACCAAUGUCAGAAUAGUGAUUCAAUAAUCAAUAGUCUAAGAAUGAAUGGCCGACCAUUAGCUUCAAAGAAAUAGGGUUGCUAAAAGGGCAGAAUCCAAACAGCACCAUUCACUUGUUGGUACCCCGGUUGGAAUCAACAUGAGGACCAAGAAAGAAUGGUGAUGGUGAGAAGUAUCACUAUCCCAAGAAUUCUUAAGAGGUGGAGCAAUCCUCACAACAUCCUUGUCAAAAAAGACAUUAAUACUUCAAGGUAGAACAUCAUACAAGCUGGAUAGCAAGUUGCAUCCAUAACCUGAACAAAUUUGUGUUGGGGGAAGGCAAGAAUGUUGUCGAUGAUAACACAAUCGUCGAGGGGCAAGGAUGGUAUUUCCCAUCAUGAAUUUGAUUGAUAUCCUGGAAGAGCUCAAAAUGUUGAUAAUGAUCACGACAAAUUUUGUCGAGAGGCUCCAUGAAGAUGCAAUCGCUCGGCGACGACAUCAAACCAAGGGAAUGGUGAAGCAAAAGGCUAUUAUAACCAUAGAUAAGAUGUCAUCUCAGAAUUCAGAGUUGUCUCUCAAGACAAACAAUAUGAUGGUGAAAGUUCGAUGUAAGGUUAGAGCACUGUCGGGAUUGUGUCCUGAGGAUGAAGGACAUAGGUAGAAUGGUUAAGCAGUCAGCCUAACGAUGAUGAUGUAGUAAAUUAGCUGGGAAUGAUACGAUCGAGUACAAACUCGUAAACAAUGAAGAUUACUAAGAGUUGUUGAAUCACAGAGCAGACUCAAUUCAGUUGUCGGUGUCCUUGAGGGUUCUAACAACUCAAAUCCCAUUGGAAAAAUGGAAUCAGCGAGAAUAAUAGUUAAUGAAGAACUCAUAAGAAGUUAUGUAGUUCCAUGGUAUUCUUGAAAUACCAGAGGGUAAUACUCGAAGGCAGAUCAGAAUAGAAACUGAACUGGAGCGUUGACUUGCAAUAGCAAAUACUUUAAUCUUGUCAUAAUAAACGAGGCAAUGGAAUGGUUUCCUUUCAGAUAUAAUGAAUAAGGUUAGCAUGGUCGGAACCAUAAACUGCAAGGGAUCCAAUUUACGACACCGGAAGAAUUAUUCGAAUGAUUAAAUAUUCUUGCAAGAAGCUUUCAUGAUAAGUUUCCCAUCGUGUCCGUGGGAAUGAACACAAAGUUCAAGGUCGACUCCCACUUCUUCAAUGCAUAACCUUUCAUUCAAUGCUCUACUAAAAAUGAUUUGAGUGCGAAGAUCUACCUGGUGAAUUACCAGAGGAGUAUGAACCUUGGAAAACUUUUGGGUUCGCACAUAUUAAGGAAGGCAUAGGUUUAACCCAUCGGGGCACCUUAGAAACAUAUACUACAAGCUUCAAGAGUAAAUAUCACCAGCUCGAAAGCAGAGCAUGGUUGGCCAAAUCAAAGAAUAGGAUUUACCAAUGGCAUUAUGUAUCAUGGAAAGAACUUCCAAAGUGAUUGAAUAUGAAGGAUGUUGUCGGAUAAAAUCCAAUAAAGGAUCAGGUGGUUCUCAAGGGAUCUGAUGUGAGCAUCGGUACUCAAACAGAGAAAGAAAGAAUGCAAGAAGAUCUGAUUAUAGAAACAACUGACUAAUUCAAAGCUCAAAUGCAAAAGAAUUAUGAUUUCCAAAUCAAGGGAUCAGAAGAAAACACUCUGGUCAAGGAUGGAUAAGUUGAGUAGGCUUAGGGGUACAAUCAAUGGCAAUUUGAUUGGUCGAGAUCCAGCUCAUGUUUAAAAUGACGUCUGAGCCAAAAGGAUGAAUUCUAGGAUCUGAUUAAGGAUUGAAACAUUGGCAACAUAAUGAAUCAAGGGACCCAAGAUGAUAAAGGCAAAGGACGUCAAUGAAUAUUGCUAGGCAUUUGGAAUUAACCAUAAUGCAGGCAGACAAGAACUUCAAGAGCCAUAGGCUGCAGAGGAUUCUCGAAAGAUCGGAUAAUAUUUCAAAGAAUUUUGUGUAACACAUGAACAAUUGGGAAUGAGCGGAUACUCGGUAAGAGCGAGGAAUUAUCCGUAGGGGUAUUCAUGUGGCAAAGAACUGCAAGGCAGUAGGCACAAAGUAUUCUCAGAACAAUAGAGAGAAUUUUGAUGUAUCUUAUAAUAAUAGGAUCGACAGGGAAUGAUUGUAUGAAUGGCAAGUGUACGUCGUUAUCCAUAAACGUUUAUCGAUGGAUGGGAAUUGCAAAAGAGAUGGCACAAAGUCUCGAGAGAACAUCAUAGAGUAUCUUCGGGAUCCUUCGCUGCACUAAGCAAUCAUCUGGAGUGUGGGCUCUCCAGGAGGAAGUAGUUACGAGACCCUAGUAUUAGAGUUAGCAAAAUCAUUUAAUCCGAGUAGAAGAGAGAUCAGAGUCCCAGAGUAUAGUGGAGGAAUAAAAGAUCCUAAUACCACCCAAUGGUGACGUGGGCCCGUAAGCCACACAACCAUGUUAGUAAAACUUUUUCAAUGACUAGACUCAACUUCGGCCAAGGAGUUUGGAAGGGGGAUUCCUACAGGCAGUCGGCUUUGAUACCAACUUGUGACGCCCCCGAUUCAAUCGUACACUAAUCAUACACGCAAACAUGUAUGAUCAAAAUCAAGGACUAACGGGAAGAUAUCACAACACAACUCUAAAAUAAAAUAAGUCAUACAAGCAUCAUAAUACAAGCCAGGGGCCUCGAGGGCUCGAAUACAAGUGCUCGAUCAUAGACGAGUCAGCAGAAGCAACAAUAUCUGAGUAUAGACAUAAGUUAAACAAGUUGCCAUAAGAUGGCUAGCACAAACUGGGAUACAGAUCGAAAGAGGCGCGGGCCUCCUGCCUGGGAUCCUCCUAAACUACUCCUGGUCGUCGGCGGUGGCCUGCACGUAGUAGUAGGCACCCGCGGUGUAGUAGGAGUCGUCGUCGAUGGUGGCGUCUGGCUCCUAGGCUCCAGCAUCUGGUUGCGACAGACGAGAAGAAAGGAAAGGGGGGAAGGGGGAGCAAAGCAAUCAUGAGUACUCAUCCAAAGUACUCGCAAGCAAGGAUCUACACUACAUAUGCAUGGGUAUCUGUGUAAAGGGGCAAUAUCGGUGGACUGAACUGCAGAAUGCCAGAAUAAGAGGGGGAUAGCUAGUCCUGUCGAAGACUAUGCUUGUGGCAGCCUCCAUCUUGCAGCAUGUAGAAGAUAGUAGAUGGUAAGUUCACCAAGUAUCAUCGCAUAGCAUAAUCCUACCCGGCGAUCCUCCCCUCGUCGCCCUGUGUGAGAGUGAUCAACGUGUUGUAUCUAGUACUUGGAACGGUGUGUUUUAUUAAGUAUCCGGUUCUAGUUGUCAUAAGGUCAAGGUACAACUCCGGGUCAUCCUGUUACCGAGGAUCACGGCUAUUCGAAUAGAUAAGCUUCCCUGCAGGGGUGCACCACAUUACCCAACACGCUCGAUCCCCUUUGGCCAGACACUUUCCUAAGUCAUGCUCAGCCUCGGAAGGUCAACACGUCGCAGCCCCACCUAAGCACAACAGAGAGGUCAGCACGCCGGUCUAAAUCCUAUGCGCGCAGGGGUCUGGGCCCAUCGCCCAUUGCACACCUGCACGUUGCGUAUGCGGCCGAUAAGCAGACCUAGCCUCCCUAAUACAAGAGCAGGCGUUCCAGUCCAAUCCGGCGCGCGCCGCUCAGUCGCUGACUUCAAGAAGGCUUCGUCUAAUACCACGACGUCGAGUGCCCAUAACUGUUCCCGCGUAGUUGGUUAGUGCGUAUAGGCCAGUGGCCAGACUCAGAUCAAAUACCAAGAUCUCGUUAAGCGUGUUAAUUGAUGUAACCGCGGACGCCCACCAGGGCCAGGCCCACCUCUCUCCUAGGUGGUCCCUGUCGCUCCGCCACAAAGAUCCACAUAGAGGGUCGUCGGGAAAGUAUGUCCUUUCAGCUCCCAAUCCGUGAAUCAACCGCGGGUACUUAAUGAGCCGACCCGACUUUAGUCACCACAUGUAGCAUACAUUAUGUAUAUAAGUAUAUACCCGUGAUCACCUCCCGAGUGAUCACGACCCAGUAGUAUAGCAUGGCAGAUGGACAAGAAUGUAGGGCCACUGAUGGAAUACUAGCAUCCUAUACUAAGCAUUUAGGAUUGCAAGUAAGGGCAACAAUUGUAGCAACAAUGACAGGCUAUGCAGCAGAAUAGGAUUAACCGAAAGCAGUAACAUGCUACACUACUCUAAUGCAAACAGUAGAGAGAACGAAUAGGCGACAUUUGGUGAUCAAGGGGGGGGCUUGCCUGGAAGCUCAGCCGAGAAGGAGGGGUCGUCAACACCGUAGUCAUACUCGGUAGCACCGGCGUCGAUCUCGAUGUCUAGCGAGAGUAAAGGGGGAAGAAACAAUAAAUACAAUGCAAACAUAUGCAUGACAAUGCAUGACAAGACAACGAGUGGUGUUAGGUGUGCCCUAACGCGGUAGUAGGUGAUGCCGGCAAAGGGGGAAAACAUUCGGGAAAGUAUUCCCAGUGUUUCGCGUUUUCGGACAGAUGAACCAGAGGGGGAAAGUUGCGUGUUUGCUAUGCUAGGGAUGUGUGGCCGACGAACGUGUUGCGUAUUCGGAUUCGUCUCGUCGUUUUGAGCAACUUUCAUGUACAAAGUUUUCCAUCCGAGGUACGGUUUAUUUUAUAUUAAUUUUCAAUGAUUUAAAUCAUUUUCAGAAUUUAUUUAAUUAUUUUAAAUCAACAUUAUCCAGAAUAGUAUAUGCUGACGUCAUCAGUCAACAGGGCGUUGACUGGGUCAAACUGGCGUGUGGGUCCCACUCGUCAUAGACUCAGGUUAACUAAACCGGGUUAAUUAGACUAACUAAGUGAUUAGGAUAAUUUAUUUUAAUUAGAUUGGUCAAACAGGAUUAAUUAACUUAAUUAAAUCAUUAAUUAAUUAAUAAUUUAUUUAUUCUAACAUUGUUAUUCUCUUUUUUUCGUUCUAGGACGGGCGCUAGCGGGCGCGCGGGUGCGGACGCCCGGACUAGGCACGGCCAGUCGGGGCAACGGCGAGGGGGGACGGCGGCGCGGCGCAGGCGUGGGAGCGGCAAGGCCACGACGGGGCGAGGAUGUGGUGAUGCGGGCGGUGUCGGGAGGCCGGGACGGUGCGUCAGGGCGGACGAGGCGAGGCCGGGGCGCAGGCAGGGCGGCGUGCCUGCAGGGGAGCAGUGGGCGACGGAGGUGAGGAGCGACGCGAGCAGGGCAAGCAGCGGCGGCGGCGGGUGGAGCUGGCGAGGCAUGGGCGCGCAGGUCGCGGGGCCAGGUGCGCAUGCGCGACAGCAGGUAAAGCCAAGCAGCAGCAGGGGCGGCGGCCGAACGAGCCACGGCGAAAGCGCGCGGCGUGCAGGCGCGAGGGAGAGAGGAGGGGAAGGGGCGCUCACGGUGGCCGUAGGAUAAAUGGCAGCGGGGCACGGGAAGGAGGUCGGGGACGACGGCGACGUGAAGGAGGCAGUCCGGUGAGGUGGCCGAGGCGGAGGCUCAGCUCCGGGCAGCGGGCAUCGGCGACGAUAGCGGGGCGGCGUCGGGUCGGCUCCCCCCGAUCCAGAUCGGGAGGAGGCAGAGAGAGUGGGACGAGUGGGGGGCGAAGUGGGGAGUGGGCUAGGGUUCGGUUCGGUGGGAGGGGAGUUAAGCGGGGCAGUGGGGGAGGCCGGUUGGGCCAGGUGGGUCCGUUGGCCACCUGGGCCAGUUGGACCAGAGGGGUGCUUCUCCCCUUUUUCCUUUUUUUGUCUUUGUUUUUAUUUAUUAUUUUCUCUUCUCUGUUUCCUAUUAUAGUUCAUUACUUUCAGUUUUAUAAAAUACCAAGUUAGCACCUAAAUUAGUAUCAUUAAUAUAGGCCACUGCCAAACCUGGUUUGGACCCAAAACAAGUUAGUUAAAUAUUUAUAUAAUUUAAAAAGCAAUUAAAUUGUUAUUUUAGCCACUGUUUUUAUUUAGAUUAGGGCAUUUAAACAUUUUGAAAAAGGUCGGUUUCACCACCAAAAUUAGUUAGGGAUUAUUUGCUACAUGAUGAACAUUUUAGUUUUAAUAUUUGAAAAAAUUUAUUGUUUGCUUGAUUUUGAAAUUGAAUUUGAAUCGGUUUCGAACUAACGCGAGAUUAGCAACAUCAAUCGAGGUGACAUGACAUCAUUAGCAGAGGGUUACUGUAGCUUAACUAUUCGGGCG
rnacentral:lncRNA from 1 species